GACGCGGAGAACAGGAAGUUAGAACGAGGCGGUCGAAGACGAAGGCCGAUGCAGAGAGGGAGCAACGCACACUCAGAAAAGGCCCCGAAGCAGGCGAAGCAGAAAGGGCCGAGGGCCACAGCGGAGACAGACUGCCGACCCCGACCCGGAGCUCCCUCAACGGUCAUUAGCCUGCUCAUCCCGCCUCCCCUGACAUCACAGCAUAGCACGGUCAGCUAAUGACAAGGUUGGCUAACCGCUACCUUUCCUUUCCAGGGCCUGUUUUACGUCAGUGCGGUGACGUGUGCUGGUCAGCAGAGGGAGCGGUGAUGUGAUGCAGCCAUUUGAGAGAGAAGCAUUCAGACUGCAGUUGGACAACAGGCGCACUGUUAAAGUAUCCCAUUGGCUCCCAAAGCGCUGCUUUUCUAACCACCUGACAUCGAUGAACUCGGCUCCGUGCUUGACCUGCGUUGCCCCGACUGACCUCUCCACUCCCACUGCUAACCACCUGACAUCACAGCGCCGCCUUUGAGAUGAGGAAUGCUGUCGUAUCAGAGUCGAUGAAUCUGCUCACGCCCAAGAUGGACCGACGGGACAGGGACAUCGCUGACGCCAGGCUAUGAUUUGUGAUUUGUGUGUGUGUGUGUGGGCGUGCUUAGUUCUGGACAAUUUAGCAUCUCUAAGGUUAGAAAACUGUGUAUCCAGAGUAUUUAUUACUGAAAGGGGGCAUGACGAAGCACAAGUAGAAGACAGGAGUCGGUGUGCUGACUUUCUGACUAGGUUUUUAAAUGUUAGUUUACAUUAGCCACACUGAGCUACGGGUCAUAUCAGACCAAGCAAAGCUGCAACAAACAAACUCCCGUGAGAAUUAAAGUAUUUUGCUCGCUUAAUAAUUAAUUUUUAGAUUUUUAAAAGGAAGAAAG